GACGAACGCUGGCGGCGUGCCUAAUACAUGCAAGUAGAACGCUGAAGGAGGAGCUUGCUUCUCUGGAUGAGUUGCGAACGGGUGAGUAACGCGUAGGUAACCUGCCUGGUAGCGGGGGAUAACUAUUGGAAACGAUAGCUAAUACCGCAUAAUAGUAGAUGUUGCAUGACAUUUGCUUAAAAGGUGCAAUUGCAUCACUACCAGAUGGACCUGCGUUGUAUUAGCUAGUUGGUGGGGUAACGGCUCACCAAGGCGACGAUACAUAGCCGACCUGAGAGGGUGAUCGGCCACACUGGGACUGAGACACGGCCCAGACUCCUACGGGAGGCAGCAGUAGGGAAUCUUCGGCAAUGGACGGAAGUCUGACCGAGCAACGCCGCGUGAGUGAAGAAGGUUUUCGGAUCGUAAAGCUCUGUUGUAAGAGAAGAACGAGUGUGAGAGUGGAAAGUUCACACUGUGACGGUAUCUACCA
rnacentral:rRNA from 1 species